GAUGAACGCUGGCGGUCUGCUUAACACAUGCAAGUCGAACGCAACCUUCGGGUUGAGUGGCGGACGGGUGAGUAACGCGUGAGAAUCUGCCUUGGGGUCGGGGACAACCACUGGAAACGGUGGCUAAUACCGGAUAAGCCUUUGGGUAAAAAAUUUAUUGCCCCAAGAGGAGCUCGCGUCUGAUUAGCUAGUUGGUGAGGUAAAAGCUCACCAAGGCAGCGAUCAGUAGCUGGUCUGAGAGGACGAUCAGCCACACUGGGACUGAGACACGGNCCAGACUCCUACGGGAGGCAGCAGUGGGGAAUUUUCCGCUAUGGGCGAAAGCCUGACGGAGCAAGACCGCGUGAGGGAGGAAGGCUCUUGGGUUGUAAACCUCUUUUCUCAGGGAAGAAGCUCUGACGGUACCUGAGGAAUCAGCCUCGGNUAACUCCGUGCCAGCAGCCGCGGUAAUACGGAGGAGGCAAGCGUUAUCCGGAAUUAUUGGGCGUAAAGCGUCCGCAGGUGGGCGAUUCAAGUCUGCUGUCAAAGCACGGGGCUU
rnacentral:rRNA from 1 species